rnacentral:rRNA from 1 species
GUGGGGAAUAUUGCGCAAUGGGGGAAACCCUGACGCAGCGACGCCGCGUGGGCGAUGAAGGCCUUCGGGUCGUAAAGCCCUGUCGAGCGGGACGAACCGUGCGAGCUCUAACAUAGCUCGUGCCUGACGGUACCGCUUGAGGAAGCCCCGGCUAACUCCGUGCCAGCAGCCGCGGUAAUACGGAGGGGGCUAGCGUUAUUCGGAAUUAUUGGGCGUAAAGGGCGUGUAGGCGGCUUCGUAAGUCUUGUGUGAAAGCCCUCGGCUCAACCGAGGAAUUGCACGAGAAACUGCGUGGCUCGAGUCCGGGAGAGGAUAGUGGAAUUCCCAGUGUAGCGGUGAAAUGCGUAGAUAUUGGGAGGAACACCGGUGGCGAAGGCGGCUAUCUGGACCGGUACUGACGCUGAGACGCGAAAGCCAGGGGAGCAAACGGGAUUAGAAACCCCUGUAGUCC